GAUGAACGCUGGCGGCGUGCCUAAUACAUGCAAGUCGAACGAAACUUCUUUAUCACCGAGUGCUUGCACUCACCGAUAAAGAGUUGAGUGGCGAACGGGUGAGUAACACGUGGGCAACCUGCCCAAAAGAGGGGGAUAACACUUGGAAACAGGUGCUAAUACCGCAUAACCAUAGUUACCGCAUGGUAACUAUGUAAAAGGUGGCUAUACUACCGCUUUUGGAUGGGCCCGCGGCGCAUUAGCUAGUUGGUAGGGUAAAGGCUUACCAAGGCAAUGAUGCGUAGCCGAAUUGAGAGGUUGAUCGGCCACAUUGGGACUGAGACACGGCCCAAACUCCCACGGGAGGCAGCAGUAGGGAAUCUUCCACAAUGGGCGAAAGCCUGAUGGAGCAACGCCGCGUGGGUGAAGAAGGUCUUCGGAUCGUAAAACCCUGUUGUUAGAGAAGAAAGUGCGUGAGAGUAACUGUUCACGUUUCGACGGUAUCUAACCGGAAAGCCACGGCUAACUACGUG
rnacentral:rRNA from 1 species